rnacentral:tRNA from 1 species
CGCGCAAUCGGAAAGAGUAGCGAAAAGCCGUCGGGCGAAUUGCCAAGGUUGGGGUCGAGGGUUCGAAUCCCUUCGCCCGCUCCA